rnacentral:rRNA from 1 species
UACAGAGGUCUCAAGCGUUGUUCGGAAUUACUGGGCGUAAAGCGCGCGUAGGCGGAUCUGCAAGUCGGGGGGUGAAAUCCCGAGGCUCAACCUCGGAACUGCCUUCGAUACUGCGGGUCUCGAGUCCGGGAGAGGUGAGUGGAAUUCCUAGUGUAGAGGUGAAAUUCGUAGAUAUUAGGAAGAACACCAGUGGCGAAGGCGGCUCACUGGCCCCGGGUACUGACGCUGAGG